UACAGAGGUCUCAAGCGUUGUUCGGAUUCAUUGGGCGUAAAGGGUGCGUAGGUGGCAUGGUAAGUUGAAGGUGAAAUCUCGGAGCUCAACUCCGAAACUGCCUUCAAUACUGCUGUGCUCGAGGACUGUAGAGGAGAAUGGAAUUCACGGUGUAGCAGUGAAAUGCGUAGAUAUCGUGAGGAAGACCAGUGGCGAAGGCGAUCCCCUGGGCCUGCACUGACGCUCAUGCACGAAAGCGUGGGGAGCAAACAGG
rnacentral:rRNA from 1 species